rnacentral:rRNA from 1 species
ACGUUAGCGGCGGACGGGUGAGUAACACGUGGGUAACCUACCUAUAAGACUGGGAUAACUUCGGGAAACCGGAGCUAAUACCGGAUAAUAUUUCGAACCGCAUGGUUCGAUAGUGAAAGAUGGUUUUGCUAUCACUUAUAGAUGGACCUGCGCCGUAUUAGCUAGUUGGUAAGGUAACGGCUUACCAAGGCGACGAUACGUAGCCGACCUGAGAGGGUGAUCGGCCACACUGGAACUGAGACACGGUCCAGACUCCUACGGGAGCAGCAGGC